GCUAUCUUGGCCGAGAGGUCUAAGGCGCUGCUCUCAAGAAGCAGUCCUCGAGAGAGGGCGCAGGUUCAAACCCUGCAGAUAGCA
rfam:Monoraphidium neglectum strain SAG 48.87 unplaced genomic scaffold scaffold02573, whole genome shotgun sequence.